rnacentral:rRNA from 1 species
UACAGAGGGGGCAAGCGUUGUUCGGAAUUACUGGGCGUAAAGGGCGCGUAGGCGGCCUGCUAAGUCGAACGUGAAAUCCCCGAGCUCAACUCGGGAACUGCGUCCGAUACUGGCAGGCUUGAAUCCGGGAGAGGGAUGCAGAAUUCCAGGUGUAGCGGUGAAAUGCGUAGAUAUCUGGAGGAAUACCGGUGGCGAAGGCGGCAUCCUGGACCGGCAUUGACGCUGAGGAGCGAAAGCUAGGGGAGCAAACGGG